GUGCUCUCUUCGGCAGCAUAUAUACUUAAAUUGGAAUGAUACAGAGAUUAGUAUGGCCCCUGCACAAAAAUGACACGCAGGUUUGUGAAGUGUUUCAUAUUUAA